rnacentral:rRNA from 1 species
GAUGAACGCUGGCGGCGUGCCUAAUACAUGCAAGUCGAGCGAACAGACGAGGAGCUUGCUCCUCUGACGUUAGCGGCGGACGGGUGAGUAACAAGUGGAUCACCUACUUCUAAGUCUGGGAUAACUUCGGGAAACAGGAGCUACUAAUGGCUAAUAUAUUGAACCGCAUGGUUCAAUAGUGCAAGACGGCUUUGCUGUCACUAUUAGAUGGUUCCGCGCCGCCUUAGUUAGUUGGUAAGGUAACGGCCUACCAAGGCAACGAUGCGUAGCCGACCUGAGGGGGUGAUCGGCCACACUGGAACUUGGGCACGGUCCAAACUCCUACGGGAGGCAGCAGUAGGGAAUCUUCCGCAAUGGGCGAAAGCCUUACGGAGCAACGCCGCGGGAGGGAAAGAGGGCUUCGGAUCGGAAAACUCUGUUAGUAGGGAAAAACAAGUGGGUGAGUAACUAUGCGCGUCUUGACGGUACCUAAUCAGAAAGCCACGGCUAACUACGUU